rnacentral:rRNA from 1 species
GACGUAGGGCGCGAGCGUUGUCCGGAUUUAUUGGGCGUAAAGAGCUCGUAGGCGGCUUGUCGCGUCGACUGUGAAAACCCGUGGCUCAACCGCGGGCCUGCAUCCGAUACUGGCGGGCUCGAGGCAGGCAGGGGAGAUCGGAAUUCCUGGUGUAGCGGUGAAAUGCGCAGAUAUCAGGAGGAACACCGGUGGCGAAGGCGGAUCUCUGGGCCUGUCCUGACGCUCAGGCGCGAAAGCUAGGGGAGCAAACAGG